GUGCUUGCUUCACCAGCACAUAUACUAAAAGUGGAACAAUACAGAAAAGAUUAGCAUGGCCCCUGCACAAGCGCAACACGCAAAUUCGUGAAGCGUUCCAUAUUUUU